rnacentral:rRNA from 1 species
GACGAACGCUGGCGGCGUGCCUAAUACAUGCCAGUAGAACGCUGAAGCGAGGAGCUUACUCUUCUUGGAUGAGUUGCGAACGGGUGAGUAACGCGUAGGUAACCUGCCUUGUAGCGGGGGAUAACUAUUGGAAACGAUAGCUAAUACCGCAUAACAAUGGAUGACACAUGUCAUUUAUUUGAAAGGGGCAAUUGCUCCACUACAAGAUGGACCUGCGUUGUAUUAGCUAGUAGGUGAGGUAAUGGCUCACCUAGGCGACGAUACAUAGCCGACCUGCGGGGGUGGUCGGCCACACUGGGACUGGGACACGGCCCAGACUCCUACGGGAGGCAGCAGUAGGGAAUCUUCGGCAAUGGGGGCAACCCUGGCCGAGCAACGCCGCGUGAGUGAAGAAGGUUUUCGGAUCGUAAAGCUCUGUUGUAAGUCAAGAACGGGUGUGAGAGUGGAAAGUUCACACUGUGACGGUAGCUUACCAGAAAGGGACGGCUAACUACGUG